GACGAACGCUGGCGGCGUGCCUAAUACAUGCAAGUAGAACGCUGAAGCUUGGUGCUUGCACCGAGCGGAUGAGUUGCGAACGGGUGAGUAACGCGUAGGUAACCUGCCUGGUAGCGGGGGAUAACUAUUGGAAACGAUAGCUAAUACCGCAUAAUAGCAGUUGUUGCAUGACAACUGUUUAAAAGGUGCAAUUGCAUCACUACCAGAUGGACCUGCGUUGUAUUAGCUAGUUGGUGGGGUAACGGCUCACCAAGGCGACGAUACAUAGCCGACCUGAGAGGGUGAUCGGCCACACUGGGACUGAGACACGGCCCAGACUCCUACGGGAGGCAGCAGUAGGGAAUCUUCGGCAAUGGACGGAAGUCUGACCGAGCAACGCCGCGUGAGUGAAGAAGGUUUUCGGAUCGUAAAGCUCUGUUUGUAAGAGAAGAAACGAGUGUGAGAGUGGAAAAGUUCACCACUG
rnacentral:rRNA from 1 species